GUUUCAACAUUCUGGUAGGACGCAUGAGAGCGGAUUGUUCCGUGGCAGUGGUCGUGGCGCAUUUCUGUUACUUUGGUUUAUUCGGCUCUUGAAGGGAGUCAACGAGCGUAUUUUAUUGUUAGUUAGAGGUAUUUGGGAUUUUUUUUGAGUGUAGUUAGUUAUUUUGGGAACUUGUCCUUCAAAAGUAUUAACUUUUUACGCAGAUAACCGGCAAUUAGAUGGAAGACAGUGAACAAGUAGUAUCGUCCACAACUCCGUCCGAAGACGAAAUGAGAAGCUACAGACAAUUCGAGAAUCAUUAUGGCAACGAGGCCACAGCUAAAGUUGGCGAAGAUGAUAUUGUAGACUUAGUUGGUGGAGCACAGGAUGCUAUUGAGAGGCACAUGGCUUCUUACCCCGAUGAUUCAAAAGAAUUUACGGAGGAAGCAAAGGAACAACUGACAAACGAGGUGAUUUCAGAUAUAACUCCAUCAGAUGAAGAACAGGAGGAAGAGGCGACUGACACAUUUUCAGAAGCUGAACCCGUGAUUCUCAAUCCUUUGGAUGCAGACUAUUUGCCAGAACUCAUAAGGCCAGAUCCCCCAAAAGCAGCUCAAGAAAAAGAACCAGCCCCAGUAGUAGAAUCCGCUCCAGUAGCAGAAGUGCUCCCCGAAGCGACUCCAGAGAAAGAAGCGAUUGCGGCUCCUCCAGCACCAUCCCGUGUACUUCAACGUUGGAACAUAGACAAGAGAGAUGAACAUUUUCUUCCUUCUACUCCGCUUCAACCUCUGAUGCAAUUCCCAAAAGAACUUGGGCAGAAGGGUGAUUCCCCUGCUCCCAUCUCCCCCCUCUCUCCUCUUCACUCUCCUGACUCUCUGGAGGACCUCUCUUUGUCAGAGAGUCCAAAUCCAACGUCUGCUCCAUUGGGCUUCUCUUCUUGGCCUUCUACUGAGCCUCCCAAAAUACAGACCAAGGAUAUGCCUUGUGAUGAAGAGGGUAACACCAGAUUAGGCUUUAUUAAGAACGAUGAGGAUAUCGUGAAAGGGUUAGAAGCUGCUUCCUACGCUCAAAGUAAACAUGAUCAAAACAUUUGCUUGGAGAGAGAUGGAAGGCCCAAGUCUCUGUGUGAAGACAGUGGGGUUGUCUCUCCUGAAGAGCAGAUUUGUAGCUCAGUCAGGUCUGCUACACCUUCCCGGUCCCCCCAAAAUCCCCCGAUGACCCCUGAAUCUUACAUUGCACCUGCCUCCUCUACCCCAGUAGAGCACUGGGAUUCUCCAUCCCAAGUUUCUCAAGACAACACCAGGGCCUCCAUGGAUAUGUUCUCCAAGAACUCAGCCUCCAGAGGUUCCUCUGGGUAUGUGCCAGAUAUGCUUGGCCAACCAGAUGAUGACUUAAUGUUUGAGGUGAAGAAGAAUCCAUUCCAAGGCUUCUCCCCUGUAGCAGAUGAUGGGUUCUCCCAUUUUGGGGAUACCACUUCUGACAGCAUGGCAGCUAAAAUAUCUGAGAGUCCCACCCCAGACCUGGUGCAAUAUGGCCAGGCUGAAGACUCCCAAGAUGGCAGCCCACCAUCAUAUUAUGAUGAGACAAAAACGUACGUGUCUGUCAAGAUGGCUGCGGACUCUCUCAUGGAGCCACUCCAUCAGUCCUCAACCACCCCAAAAGAGAGUGAAGACUCUGCACCUCCAUCUCUCCCAGAUAUCUUAAAGCCCUUCCCUCUGAACCCUGACAAAGUGGACUCUGGCUCUUCUGAAGGAAGCACUGAGCCGAGCCCUGCUCCUGUCCGGAAGAUAGUUGAGUCACCCACUGUCCCUGUCCCUCUGUCAGCCACAAAUCCCUUUGCUUUCGAUUCCAAAGCUUUACUGCUAAAGGAGCUGACUGAGGAGACUGAAGCAAGAUUAGCAGUGAAGAUUGAAGAUAAAGGCUUUAGUGCCUUUGACCUUGUAAAGGAGGCAGGGACCACACCCCAGAGCAAAGAACCUGUCCAGAUAGAACAAAAAGAUUGGAUGUUUUCCAGUCAAGAUUCACCCAAAAUAGUGAACAAAUUAGAGCCUCUUAAUAUCCAGACUAGAAAGACCCCUGAAGAUUCUGAUUCCGAGAGUCCGUCCGCAGACUCUCUGUCCCCUGUUCUGGAGGCAAUGGCCAAGAAUCCUGCAAGUUUCCAGGUGGAGACUGAGAAGGAUGACAUGAAAGUGGAAGAGCCAGAGGCAGUAGAGGAGAACUCUGAGCCUGAAGUCUCCUCGGAAGAGUUCGAGUUCAUCGAAAGGCCCACCAGGGGUGUGAUGGAUGAGUUUCUAGAAGCAUUUGAUGGUGCCAAGUUUGCCAAGGCACCAGAGCUAAGUAUGGAUGACGACGAUGAUGAUGAUGAUGACAUGAGCUUUGGGCUGAAGGAUGUGACGUCUGCAAAUGUAGCCCCAGAAGUUCAGGAAGAAGUUCCCAGUCAGAGCUCUUACCUCCUACUUACCCAGGAGGGUAAGGCCUACCUGGAGAAGGAUGAUAUCAACGAGCCUGCGUCUCAGGCCCCUCUCAUCCACUCACCAGUUCGCGAACCAGAGAUGGUCGCUAAGGACACAGAGGGCCCCAAAACUGCUCAGAUGCCCAACCUGAGCACAGAAGCAGUGGUAGAGCUCCUGUACUGGCGUGAUGUCAAGACCUCGGGCGUGGUGUUUGGCGCUAGCCUCUCCCUGCUGCUCUCCCUGACACUGUGCAGCAUCGUCAGUGUCUCCUCCUACAUCGGUCUGGCUCUCCUCUCUGUCACCAUCUGCUUCAGGAUAUACAAGGGGAUCCUGCAGGCCAUCCAGAAGUCCGACGAAGGGCACCCAUUCAAGCUGUACCUGGAUCAGGAUGUGGCUCUGUCAGAGGGAACUGUCCAUAAGUACAGCGACUGCGUUCUGGCACGGUUCAACACAACAGUCACUGAGCUGCGUCGCCUCUUCCUGGUUGAAGACCUGGUGGAUUCCCUAAAGUUUGCUGUGCUGAUGUGGAUUCUCACCUAUGUUGGUGCCUUGUUCAACGGACUCACUCUCUUUAUUCUGGGUAAGAUGCUUUAUAAAUGGCAAUUAAUAACUUAUAAAGGCAUUUAUGAUGUUUUGUUGCUAUGGUGCCUAGGGAAGCAGUAUCAUGUGAUUAGCUCUGUAAUACUCUCAGGAACAGGCCUAAGCUGGGUUUAUUUCAGGAUGCCAUGCGAGUCCGAAUAGAGACAGUGGUUGACUGACAGGUUUCGGUCUGACACCCAUUAUAACCGCCAGCUUCCUUUUUAAAUACUUUGACAUGCAUCUGAUCCACCCUUCUGGGUAUAAAGGGACAUGCCAUCAAGAUACUGUUUAGAGAUUGCAGCAGAGCCAGGUUGAAUAAUGCCACCUUGUUAUAGAACAUUAUCUUAUUUUUCUCCCUCCAGGUCUGGUUGGAAUGUUUAGCUGCCCUAUUGUCUAUGAGAAGUACAAGGUACAGAUUGACCAUUACGUGGGUAUGGCCAGCAAGCAGGUUAAAGACAUUAUUGCAACGGUGCAGUCCAAAGUCCCAGGACUGAAGCGUGUGAAGGCAGAGUAAAGAAAAGAGAUUGAGCCAGUCCCUGAGACUCCCUAUGAGAGGGUGGAGGGCACUCGGGGUGGGGGGGCAUGCACCCCUGCAUAACUGCUAUUUUCAAUCUCUUUUCAGUUCAUAAUUCCUUGUUCCCUGAAACACCCUGGGUUAUGUUUUUUAAAAUAUAUAUUAUUCACCAGCUCAAAAGUGUUCAACUUUUGAUUAACUAAAUUGAACAUGCUGAUCUAUCUGGCUUAAAAUGCUAGUUUGUGUGAAAUAUGAAGAAAGAAAAAAAAUAAGGCUUAUUAUUUUAAUCUUGCACUUGGACCUGACCAGUGAUGCGUUUUGAAAUAAAAUUGUGUUCCAUGAGCUGGUUCAUUUGUUCUCUCCCUUGAUGCAGUGUUCAGAAAAUUGGUAUUGCAUUGUCUUUUUUGUAAUGAGGGAGGGUUAAUUGGUACCUUUGUGGAAACCUGAAUACCUGUCGUUAUUUGGUAUGAUUAAGUUAGUGGUGUUUGUGAUUUUACUGUUUUAUUGAUAGACUGUAGUUUCAAAGCUUCUAGCUCUCUUCAGUGGCUAUUGAGUGUACUUGACACAAGGUGUUGACGUGUCAUUGUGCUUGACGAUGGUCUUUAAUGCCAGCAGGGCGAUAAUCCAUAGCACUUCAUGCUUCUGAGUAUUUCUAGCUAGAAACAUUUAGAACAUUAAUGAUCAUUUCACCUCAUGCAGCUGCCUAUUUAAACUCUGGAAGAACACGUUUACAAACAACUUAAGACAAAAAAAAUGGACAUACCAUCUGUGGACCCAAUAUCUAAAGCUGCAAAAUUAUGUAACAUGGAAACUUCAAGCAUUGUUUAUGCAAGUAAUUGUGAAUGAUACUUCAUACAAUUGUAAUGAACUCUUAUGAGAACUGUUUGUGGAAUGCAUUGUGAAAUAGAAACAAUUACAAUAAAGCUUAUAGAUGAA